CCGAGCGAGAAUUCUCUGAAUUCAACCUCCCACCCGUGUUUAUUGUACCUUGUUGCUUCGGCGGGCCCGCCUCACGGCCGCCGGGGGGCCCUGCGCCCCCGGGCCCGCGCCCGCCGAAGACACCUUGAACUCUGUAUGAAAAUUGCAGUCUGAGUCUAAAUAUAAAUUAUUUA
rnacentral:misc_RNA from 1 species